rnacentral:rRNA from 1 species
AAACCGGGGCUAAUACCGGAUGGUUGUCUGAACCGCAUGGUUCAGACAUAAAAGGUGGCUUCGGCUACCACUUACAGAUGGACCCGCGGCGCAUUAGCUAGUUGGUGAGGUAACGGCUCACCAAGGCGACGAUGCGUAGCCGACCUGAGAGGGUGAUCGGCCACACUGGGACUGAGACACGGCCCAGACUCCUACGGGAGGCAGCAGUAGGGAAUCUUCCGCAAUGGACGAAAGUCUGACGGAGCAACGCCGCGUGAGUGAUGAAGGUUUUCGGAUCGUAAAGCUCUGUUGUUAGGGAAGAACAAGUGCCGUUCAAAUAGGGCGGCACCUUGACGGUACCUAACCAGAAAGCCACGGCUAACUACGUGCCAGCAGCCGCGGUAAUACGUAGGUGGCAAGCGUUGUCCGGAAUUAUUGGGCGUAAAGGGCUCGCAGGCGGUUUCUUAAGUCUGAUGUGAAAGCCCCCGGCUCAACCGGGGAGGGUCAUUGGAAACUGGGGAACUUGAGUGCAGAAAAGGAGAGUGGAAUUCCCCGUGUAGCGGUGAAAUGCGUAAAGAUGUGGAGGAACACCAGUGGCGAAGGCGACUCUCUGGUCUGUANCUGACGCUGAGGAGCGAAAGCGUGGGGAGCGAACAGGAUAAAUACCCUGGUAGU